rnacentral:rRNA from 1 species
UACGAAGGGGGCUAGCGUUGCUCGGAAUUACUGGGCGUAAAGGGUGUGUAGGCGGAUACUUAAGUCGGGGGUGAAAGCCCAGGGCUCAACCCUGGAAUAGCCUUCGAUACUGGGUAUCUUGAGUUCGGGAGAGGUAAGCGGAACUCCGAGUGUAGAGGUGAAAUUCGUAGAUAUUCGGAAGAACACCAGUGGCGAAGGCGGCUUACUGGCCCGAUACUGACGCUGAAACACGAAAGCGUGGGGAG